GGACAGGUGGUGGCAUGGUUGUCGUCAGCUCGUGUCGUGAGAUGUUGGGUUAAGUCCCGCAACGAGCGCAACCCCUAUUGUUAGUUGCCAUCAUUCAGUUGGGCACUCUAGCGAGACUGCCGGUAAUAAACCGGAGGAAGGUGGGGAUGACGUCAAAUCAUCAUGCCCCUUAUGACCUGGGCUACACACGUGCUACAAUGGUUGGUACAACGAGUUGCGAGUCGGUGACGGCGAGCUAAUCUCUUAAAGCCAAUCUCAGUUCGGAUGUAGGCUGCAACUCGCCUACAUGAAGUCGGAAUCGCUAGUAAUCGCGGAUCAGCACGCCGCGGUGAAUACGUUCCCGGGCCUU
rnacentral:rRNA from 1 species